AUAGAAGAAACGUUUAAAAAUUCAUAGCGACGUCCUGUCGCAAAGCUACAUGACUCACAUCCUGUGAG
rnacentral:sRNA from 1 species